UACGGAGGAUCCGAGCGUUAUCCGGAUUUAUUGGGUUUAAAGGGUGCGUAGGUGGAUUGGUAAGUCGGUGGUGAAAGUUUGCAGCUUAACUGUAAAAUUGCCGUUGAAACUGCCGGUCUUGAGUGCAAAUGAGGUAGGCGGAAUGCGUCGUGUAGCGGUGAAAUGCUUAGAUAUGACGCAGAACUCCGAUUGCGAAGGCAGCUUACUGGGAUGCAACUGACGCUGAGGCACGAAAGCGUGGGUAUCAAACAGGAUUAGAUACU
rnacentral:rRNA from 1 species